rnacentral:rRNA from 1 species
CCUACGGGAGGCAGCAGUGGGGAAUAUUGCGCAAUGGACGAAACUCUGACGCAGCAACGCCGCGUGAGUGAAGACGUCUCUCUGUAUUUUAAGCUCCAUCUGCGGGGAAGAAGGAAGACGGUACCCGACUAAGAAGCCCCGGCUAACUACGUGCCAGCAGCCGCGGUAAUACGUAGGGGGCAAGCGUUAUCCGGGUUUACUGGGUGUAAAGGGAGCGUAGGCGGCGUCGUAAGUCUGAAGUGAAAGCCCGUGGCUCAACCGCGGAACCGCUUUGGAAACUGGGUGGCUGGAGUGCUGGAGAGGUAAGCGGAAUGCGUGGUGUAGCGGUGAAAUGCGUAGAUAUCAGGAAGAACACCGGUGGCGAAGGCAGCUUACUGGACAGUGACUGACGUUGAGGCUCGAAAGCGUGGGGAGCGAACAGGAUUAGAUACCCGGGUAGUC